UUAAGUUCAGCGGGUAUCCCUACCUGAUCCGAGGUCAACCUGGUGAAAUGGUUUUGAGGUUUGACGGCGGAAGACUCGCCGGGCCCGCAGGACGUUUUAUUUCUACUACGCCCAAAGCCCGUGUGACUUCGCCGAAGGUUUUGAGGCACGCCCGCCCCUUCCGGGGGGACGAAGGCCUAAUACCAAGCUGGGCUUGAUUG
rnacentral:misc_RNA from 1 species